GACGUAGGGCGCGAGCGUUGUCCGGAUUUACUGGGCGUAAAGGGCGCGUAGGCGGCCACCGCAAGUCGGUUGUGAAAUCUCUGGGCUUAACCCAGAAAGGUCAACCGAUACUGCGGGGCUAGAGUGCAGAAGGGGCAACUGGAAUUCUCGGUGUAGCGGUGAAAUGCGUAGAUAUCGAGAGGAACACCUGCGGCGAAGGCGGGUUGCUGGGCUGACACUGACGCUGAUGCGCGAAAGCUAGGGGGAGCGAACGGG
rnacentral:rRNA from 1 species